AUUGCAAAUUCAAAUGUAUCACUGCCCAGUGUUUUGAGAUCAAGCCGAAUGAAUCAAAAUGAUGAAUUUUAUUCUUCUUCAAGGACUCGUAAAUAAUUGAUGGGAUAGGCUAGACGAUGGCGCAUGAUGGCCAGCCCAAAAAGCGAACCGCCCAGAUGACUUUUAUGAUGUGCAAGGUCGCUUUUGACUUGUGCUGCCGGCCAAGAAUAUAAGGCCAUUUUUUGGUCUAUAAUUUUCGGCUAUAACACGCGCUCAGUCUAUUCGAUCUCCUAUCAUUAAAUUCAGGAUUUUUCUAUUGUUUUGUUAAUCACAGAGUUCGUCUAUGAUUGCGGGAAAAUAAUAAUUGUCAUCGUCCGACCACGCCCAGAUUGAUGUAAUCUCAAGGUUGUCGUUUUAUUUUUGAAUUCACUGGAAAUGUGACUAUCAGAUCGUUUGCGUUAGUGAUCAGACGAUUAAAACAAAUCACGACUAGAUUUUAUGAUAAGACUGAAGACAAUUAAUCUUGAGUGAAAUGUUGAUCAAGGUAGGGAGACACAUUUAUUCCAAUGAUUUCCAGUGAAUAAGAUAACAGAUCCCCAUCGUAUUUCCGUAAAUUGUUUGACACAGAAAUUCGAUAAAAUAUCUUGUUGUCCAAUUGGCUAUAACUUAUUUGAGGUUGACAGUAUAAUCAAUUAAUCGGGCGGAACCUUUUUUCCAGUCGAUUAAGUGGGACCAUCUAUUUUUUCGCUAGUUUUUCUCAGAAAUCACAGCAGCAGUGACCAGACGGAAAGAGAUGCCUCACCAUAUACAAGUUGGUGAAAGAUAGUCCACACACUCGGUUCUAUUACACAAGAACAAAAAGGGCGACCUUGCAUUCAUUUGCCCAAAUGCCUUUGAAUUGUCAUUAUUAUAUGACGUCAUUUCAAAAGUGAAUGCGUGCAUGGAAUUGCUGGAAUCGCGCUGGAGGCAAGGUCGUGUAGCAAUCAACGAUCCAAUCAGACCCUAUACGAUCAUGAGAUAAUAAAUAAGAACUUGCAAUCAUCAAAACGGUGAACAAGGUUAAAUGUAACUAAUAGGCAGAAAGACGCAAGCUUGUUCUUAGAAAAGUUCACCGGUUUAUUUUUCACGAGGCCUUACUAAUCGAAAUGAUUAUUCUAUUACGUAAGUUGACAUAUUUAAAAUUGGGUUAGUUUUGCGAAUAAGAAUCGAUAA